GACGAACGCUGGCGGCGUGCCUAAUACAUGCCAGUUGAGCGCUGAAGGUUGGUACUUGUACCGACUGGAUGAGCAGCGAACGGGUGAGUAACGCGUGGGGAAUCUGCCUUUGAGCGGGGGACAACAUUUGGAAACGAAUGCUAAUACCGCAUAAAAACUUUAAACACAAGUUUUAAGUUUGAAAGAUGCAAUUGCAUCACUCAAAGAUGAUCCCGCGUUGUAUUAGCUAGUUGGUGAGGUAAAGGCUCACCAAGGCGAUGAUACAUAGCCGACCUGAGAGGGUGAUCGGCCACAGUGGGACUGAGACACGGCCCAAAAUCCUACGGGAGGCAGCAGUAGGGAAUCUUAGGCAAUGGACGAAAGUCUGACCGGGCAACGCCGCGUGAGUGAAGAAGGAUUUCGGAUCGUAAAACUCUGUUGGUAGAGAAGAACGUUGGUGAGAGUGGAAAGCUCAUCAAGUGACGGUAACUACCCAGAAAGGGACGGCUAACUACGUG
rnacentral:rRNA from 1 species